rnacentral:rRNA from 1 species
UAACCCGGGUCGGCGGACCGGCGCACGGUGGAGUAACACGUAUGCAACCUGCCCUUUACUCGGGGAUAACCUUUCGAAAGAAAGACUAAUGCCCGAUAGCAUAAUGAUUCCGCAUGGUUUCAUUAUUAAAGGAUUCCGGUAAAGGAUGGGGAUGCGUUCCAUUAGGUUGUUGGUGAGGUAACGGCUCACCAAGCCUUCGAUGGAUAGGGGUUCUGAGAGGAAGGUCCCCCACAUUGGAACUGAGACACGGUCCAA